AUACGAAAGGUGCAAGCGUUGUUCGGAUUUACUGGGCGUAAAGAGAGUGUAGGUGGUUUAUUAAGUCGGAUGUGAAAUCCCGGGGCUCAACCUCGGAACUGCAUUCGAUACUGAUAGGCUAGAGUUUGGGAGGGGUAAGCGGAAUUCCGUGUGUAGCAGUGAAAUGCGUAGAUAUACGGAGGAACACCUGAGGCGAAGGCGGCUUACUGGACCAAUACUGACACUGAGACUCGAAAGCGUGGGUAGCAAACAGGAUUAGAAACCCCGGUAGUCC
rnacentral:rRNA from 1 species